rnacentral:rRNA from 1 species
GGUUAAGCGACUAAGCGUACACGGUGGAUGCCCUGGCAGUCAGAGGCGAUGAAGGACGUGCUAAUCUGCGAAAAGCGUCGGUAAGGUGAUAUGAACCGUUAUAACCGGCGAUGUCCGAAUGGGGAAACCCAGUGCAAUUCGUUGCACUAUCGUUAACUGAAUACAUAGGUUAACGAGGCGAACCGGGGGAACUGAAACAUCUAAGUACCCCGAGGAAAAGAAAUCAACCGAGAUUCCCCCAGUAGCGGCGAGCGAACGGGGAGCAGCCCAGAGUCUGAAUCAGCUUGUGUGUUAGUGGAACGGUCUGGAAAGUCCGACGGUACAGGGUGAUAGUCCCGUACACCAAAAUGCACAGGCUGUGAACUCGAAGAGUAGGGCGGGACACGUGGUAUCCUGUCUGAAUAUGGGGGGACCAUCCUCCAAGGCUAAAUACUCCUGACUGACCGAUAGUGAACCAGUACCGUGAGGGAAAGGCGAAAAGAACCCCGGCGAGGGGAGUGAAAAAGAACCUGAAACCGUGUACGUACAAGCAGUGGGAGCACCUUCGGGUGUGACUGCGUACCUUUUGUAUAAUGGGUCAGCGACUUAUAUUCUGUAGCAAGGUUAACCGUAUAGGGGAGCCGCAGGGAAACCGAGUCUUAACUGGGCGUUAAGUUGCAGGGUAUAGACCCGAAACCCGGUGAUCUAGCCAUGGGCAGGUUGAAGGUUGGGUAACACUAACUGGAGGACCGAACCGACUAAUGUUGAAAAAUUAGCGGAUGACUUGUGGCUGGGGGUGAAAGGCCAAUCAAACCGGGAGAUAGCUGGUUCUCCCCGAAAGCUAUUUAGGUAGCGCCUCGUGAAUUCAUCUUCGGGGGUAGAGCACUGUUUCGGCUAGGGGGUCAUCCCGACUUACCAACCCGAUGCAAACUACGAAUACCGAAGAAUGUUAUCACGGGAGACACACGGCGGGUGCUAACGUCCGUCGUGAAGAGGGAAACAACCCAGACCGCCAGCUAAGGUCCCAAAGUCAUGGUUAAGUGGGAAACGAUGUGGGAAGGCACAGACAGCCAGGAUGUUGGCUUAGAAGCAGCCAUCAUUUAAAGAAAGCGUAAUAGCUCACUGGUCGAGUCGGCCUGCGCGGAAGAUGUAACGGGGCUAAACCAUGCACCGAAGCUGCGGCAGCGACACUAUGUGUUGUUGGGUAGGGGAGCGUUCUGUAAGCCUGCGAAGGUGACCUGUGAGGGUUGCUGGAGGUAUCAGAAGUGCGAAUGCUGACAUAAGUAACGAUAAAGCGGGUGAAAAGCCCGCUCGCCGGAAGACCAAGGGUUCCUGUCCAACGUUAAUCGGGGCAGGGUGAGUCGACCCCUAAGGCGAGGCCGAAAGGCGUAGUCGAUGGGAAACAGGUUAAUAUUCCUGUACUUGGUGUUACUGCGAAGGGGGGACGGAGAAGGCUAUGUUAGCCGGGCGACGGUUGUCCCGGUUUAAGCAUGUAGGCUGAUUGUCCAGGCAAAUCCGGAUAAUCAAGGCUGAGGUGUGAUGACGAGGCACUACGGUGCUGAAGUAACAAAUGCCCUGCUUCCAGGAAAAGCCUCUAAGCAUCAGGUAACAUCAAAUCGUACCCCAAACCGACACAGGUGGUCAGGUAGAGAAUACCAAGGCGCUUGAGAGAACUCGGGUGAAGGAACUAGGCAAAAUGGUGCCGUAACUUCGGGAGAAGGCACGCUGGUGUGUAGGUGAAGCCCCUGCGGGUGGAGCUGAGACCAGUCGAAGAUACCAGCUGGCUGCAACUGUUUAUUAAAAACACAGCACUGUGCAAACACGAAAGUGGACGUAUACGGUGUGACGCCUGCCCGGUGCCGGAAGGUUAAUUGAUGGGGUUAUCCGUAAGGAGAAGCUCUUGAUCGAAGCCCCGGUAAACGGCGGCCGUAACUAUAACGGUCCUAAGGUAGCGAAAUUCCUUGUCGGGUAAGUUCCGACCUGCACGAAUGGCGUAAUGAUGGCCAGGCUGUCUCCACCCGAGACUCAGUGAAAUUGAACUCGCUGUGAAGAUGCAGUGUACCCGCGGCAAGACGGAAAGACCCCGUGAACCUUUACUAUAGCUUGACACUGAACAUUGAGCCUUGAUGUGUAGGAUAGGUGGGAGGCUUUGAAGCGUGGACGCCAGUCUGCGUGGAGCCAACCUUGAAAUACCACCCUUUAAUGUUUGAUGUUCUAACGUUGGCCCCUUACCGGGGUUGCGGACAGUGUCUGGUGGGUAGUUUGACUGGGGCGGUCUCCUCCCAAAGCGUAACGGAGGAGCACGAAGGUUAGCUAAUCCUGGUCGGACAUCAGGAGGUUAGUGCAAUGGCAUAAGCUAGCUUGACUGCGAGCGUGACGGCGCGAGCAGGUGCGAAAGCAGGUCAUAGUGAUCCGGUGGUUCUGAAUGGAAGGGCCAUCGCUCAACGGAUAAAAGGUACUCCGGGGAUAACAGGCUGAUACCGCCCAAGAGUUCAUAUCGACGGCGGUGUUUGGCACCUCGAUGUCGGCUCAUCACAUCCUGGGGCUGAAGUAGGUCCCAAGGGUAUGGCUGUUCGCCAUUUAAAGUGGUACGCGAGCUGGGUUUAGAACGUCGUGAGACAGUUCGGUCCCUAUCUGCCGUGGGCGCUGGAGAAUUGAGGGGGGCUGCUCCUAGUACGAGAGGACCGGAGUGGACGCAUCACUGGUGUUCGGGUUGUCAUGCCAAUGGCACUGCCCGGUAGCUAAAUGCGGAAGAGAUAAGUGCUGAAAGCAUCUAAGCACGAAACUUGCCCCGAGAUGAGUUCUCCCUGAGACUUUAAGUCUCCUGAAGGAACGUUAAAGACGAUGACGUUGAUAGGCCGGGUGUGUAAGCGCAGCGAUGCGUUGAGCUAACCGGUACUAAUGAACCGUGAGGCUUAACCUU